CCUGCCUGUAAGACUGGGAUAACUCCGGGAAACCGGAGCUAAUACCGGAUAGUUCCUUGAACCGCAUGGUUCAAGGAUGAAAGACGGUUUCGGCUGUCACUUACAGAUGGACCCGCGGCGCAUUAGCUAGUUGGUGGGGUAAUGGCUCACCAAGGCGACGAUGCGUAGCCGACCUGAGAGGGUGAUCGGCCACACUGGGACUGAGACACGGCCCAGACUCCUACGGGAGGCAGCAG
rnacentral:rRNA from 1 species